GACGAACGCUGGCGGCGUGCUUAACACAUGCAAGUCGAACGGAAAGGCCCUGCUUUUGUGGGGUGCUCGAGUGGCGAACGGGUGAGUAACACGUGAGUAACCUGCCCUUGACUUUGGGAUAACUUCAGGAAACUGGGGCUAAUACCGGAUAGGAGCUCCUGCUGCAUGGUGGGGGUUGGAAAGUUUCGGCGGUUGGGGAUGGACUCGCGGCUUAUCAGCUUGUUGGUGGGGUAGUGGCUUACCAAGGCUUUGACGGGUAGCCGGCCUGAGAGGGUGACCGGGCACAUUGGGACUGAGAUACGGCCCAGACUCCUACGGGAGGCAGCAGUGGGGAAUAUUGCACAAUGGGCGGAAGCCUGAUGCAGCAACGCCGCGUGCGGGAUGACGGCCUUCGGGUUGUAAACCGCUGUCGCCUGUGACGAAGCGUGAGUGACGGUAAUGGGUAAAGAAGCACCGGCUAACUACGUG
rnacentral:rRNA from 1 species